AUGCAGGACUCGUGCGGAGUGAUGUCUGACCUCGUGCGGGAGGACUGCUUCUGCUCCAUAGACGAGGAAGAACGGGGUCUCGCCCGUCGGCUUGGUGGCGGUGGUGCGGAUGGACCACAACACGGACUGGAGCUCAUCGUGCUAGCCCCUGUCGCAGGCCUCGAGCUUCUUCUUGAAGGUCCUAGUCUUGAGGCCUCUCAGGACCUCCGCGUUGGCACGUUCGGCCUGGCCAUUGCUCCUGGGGUGCGCUACCGAAGCAUAGCAGAUCUGUGUUCCAUGGUAGCACAAUAUGACUUGAAGAGAUUACUAGUGAACUGCGAGCCAUUAUCGGUGAUGAUGUGGUUGGGGACCCCAAAGCGGCUCACGAGGCCCUUGAUGAACUUGACCGCAGAGCCAGCUGGGAUGGUGCGGGCGGCUUCAACCUCCACCCACUUAGUGAACUUGUCGAUGGCGACGUAG
rnacentral:rRNA from 1 species